rnacentral:rRNA from 1 species
GGGAGCUUUCCAUGCCGGGCCGAAGCGGAGAGGCGACUCUCCGUGGACUGCAUGGAAGUGAGAAUGCUGGCAUGAGUAACGAGAGAGGGGCGGGAAACCCCUCCGCCGUAAGCCUAAGGUUUCCUGGGCAAGGCUAAUCCCCCCAGGGUCAGUCGGGAGCUAAGGCGAGGCCGAGAGGCGUAGCCGAUGCGCAACAGGCGGACAUUCCUGUACCACCAGCCAUCGUUUGACGACGGGGCGACGGAGAAGGGUAGCCGGGCGGGGUUCUGGACGUCCCCGUGAAAGCGCGUAGGGAGCGAGGCAGGCAAAUCCGCCCCGCAUAUGUCCCGAGACGCGAGACGAAGCUCCAAGUGAAGCCGGCGAGCCCAUGCUUCCAAGAAAAACCCCUAAGGAGAGGGGCUGGUGCCCGUACCAAAACCGACACAGGUAGGCGGGUAGAGCAUACCAAGGCGAUCGGGAGAACCAUGGUUAAGGAACUCGGCAUACCGACCCCGUAACUUAGGGAGAAGGGGUGCCCCCGCAGGUGGAAGGACUUGCUCCUCGAGCCCGCGGGGGUCGCAGUGAAGAGGCCCAAGCGACUGUUUACCAAAAACACAGGACUCUGCCAAGCCGCAAGGCGAAGUAUAGGGUCUGACGCCUGCCCGGUGCUGGAAGGUUACGCGGAUGAGUUAGCGCAAGCGAAGCCCUGAAGCCAAGCCCCAGUAAACGGCGGCCGUAACUAUAACGGUCCUAAGGUAGCGAAAUUCCUUGUCGGGUAAGUUCCGACCUGCACGAAUGGCGUAACGACUUGGGCGCUGUCUCAACCAUGGACCCGGUGAAAUUGUAUUAUUCGUGAAGAUGCGAAUUACCUGCGGAAGGACGGAAAGACCCCGUGAACCCUUACUGCAGCUUGGCAUUGGCUGUUGGUGCGGUGCGUAGAGGAUAGGCAGGAGCCUGCGAACCGGAAACGCCAGUUCCCGGGGAGGCGACCUUGGAAUACUGCCCUCACCGCAUCGGCAGCCUAACGCGCCGCCCUCAUCGGGGGCGCGGACCGUGCCAGGUGGGUAGUUUGACUGGGGCGGUCGCCUCCUAAACUGUAACGGAGGCGUGCUAAGGUUCGCUCAGGGCGGUCGGCAAUCGCCCGCAGAGCACAAGAGUACAAGCGAGCCUGACUGCGAGACCAACAAGUCGAGCAGAGACGAAAGUCGGUUCUAGUGAUCCGGCGGCCCGGCGUGGAACGGCCGUCGCUCAACGGAUAAAAGGUACUCCGGGGAUAACAGGCUGAUCUUGCCCAAGAGUCCACAUCGACGGCAAGGUUUGGCACCUCGAUGUCGGCUCAUCGCAUCCUGGGGCUGUAGCAGGUCCCAAGGGUACGGCUGUUCGCCGUUUAAAGCGGUACGCGAGCUGGGUUCAGAACGUCGUGAGACAGUUCGGUCCCUAUCCUCCGUGGGCGCAAGAGAAUUGAGAGGAUCUGUCCCUAGUACGAGAGGACCGGGAUGGACGCACCUCUGGUGCCGCAGUUGUCGACCAACGGCACAGCUGCCUAGCUACGUGCGGGACGGAUAACCGCUGAAAGCAUCUAAGCGGGAAGCCGGCCUCGAGAUGAGUUCUCUCUCCGGUAAGGCCACUUCUAGACCAGGAGUUGGAUAGGCCGCAGCUGCAAGCCCUGCGAGGGGCUCAGGCGAGCGGUACUAAUCGGCCGAGCUCUUCAC